rnacentral:rRNA from 1 species
CAAUAGCGUAUAUUAAAGCUGUUGCGGUUAAAAAGCUCGUAGUUGGAUUUCUGUCAAGGACAACUGGUCCGCCCCUCGGGUGAGCACAUAGUUUGGUCUUGGCAUCUUGUUGGAAACUGUUGCUGCACUUGGUUGUGUGGCGCAGUGUCCAGCACUUUCACUUUGAGGAAAUUGGAGUGUUUCAAGCAGGCACAUGCCUUUGGACACAGUAGCAUGGAAUAAUUAGAUUGGGCUUUUGCUCCAACUUGUCGGUUUCUGGAGCUGAGGUGAGAAUUAAUGGGGAUUGUUGGGGGCAUCCGAAUUUAGCCGCCAGAGGUGAAAUUCUUGGAUCUGCUAAAGACGGACAACUGCGAAAGCGUUUGCCCAGGAUGUUUUCAUUGA